ensembl:lncRNA
AUCUAUUGCUCUAUGAUUUUUUCUACAUGAACAAAUUGAAUUUGAAAGCAUAUAAGACUAGAUCUCCAUCUUAGGCAGUGAAACUAGUAAAGAAGCUACUGUAACUCUGAAGAAAGAAUCCAAAACGCUGAUUUCCUAUAGAAGUUCUGAAAAAGUGACAUUUAACUAUGUGCUUGGACUGGAUCUAAAAUUUCUAGAUCAUCAGAUGAGGAGCAGCUCGAUUUGCAACAUUACCUGCAAAGGGUUAAAAACCAGCCUCUCUCUGUUCCUUAUCUUUUUUUUUUUUGAGGAAGAUUAGCCCUGAGCUGACUGCUGCCAAUCCUCCUCUUUUUGCUGAGGAAGACUGGCCCUGAGCUAACAUCCGUGCCCAUCUUCCUCUACUUUAUAUGUGGGACGUCUACCACAGUUUGGCGUGCCAAGCGGUGCCAUGUCUGCACCCGGAAUCCGAACUGGCGAGCCCCCGGCCACCGAAGUGGAACGUGUGCACUUAACCACUGAGGCAAUGGCCGGCCCCUCUCUGUUUCAUAUUGGUUGCAUGCUUGACUGCUGAAGAAGAAACAUAUGAAGAGUUUGGCCCACAGCAUACACAGCAUUGUAUACACAGUAACUCCUGCCAGCCAUGGUCACAUCAAACUUGUGCAAAGGGAGAGACUCCAAAGAGGCAUUAGGUGAACAGUCGUCUGAUUUUUCACUGUCAGUUUCAGAAACUGAGCAAUUGAAAUACAAGUUCUAUCAUUUAGUGAGGUGCAAGUCUUCUGGGUACUUAGAAGGGUAUCUAUCUAGAGAAACUGUGUGAAACCAGAGAUCUCACUAUCCAGUUGUGAAAAGGUGAGAGUCCCAUAGAAUGUGCCAAGCAGGGGAUAACGUUCACUAAAGAUAAAAUCCCGUUGCAAAAUAGUGAUCCAGUCAUUCCCUGUCACCAAAAGGUUCCACUCUGAAAAGCUCAGUCCUAGGAAUAUGUCAGAGUCACCAUAGAUGCCAAACACGUUUGCUGAUGAAUCUCUUCCCUGAAGUGAAAUGGCCAGGCCAAUGAGAAAUACAUCCCCUUGGCGACAGGAAACUUUUCCAGAAAGGCCAUACAGAUGCCAUUCUUAUCAAACUCUCCUCUCAAGCCCCAGAGAAAGUGAACCCCCUUCUUGUCUUCUGAAACAACCAGCACAACCCAGAUCCAAUCAAAAUGCAGCAGCAACAAGACCGUGCCAAGGGCCAGUGCUGUGUUUCUGGGGGCCCUCUGAUAGAGAGAUGGAAACUGGCCUUUGCCACUCAGGAUGGGAUCAAAGAAGCCAUAGGAGAGCUCAGUGGGAAAAGAAAAGCAUGAUCCCAUGUGAGAUCAGAGGAAGCAACAUGAGGACGGAAUGAAGCACAACUAUCAGCCCAUCUAACUUCAAUUAACUGUUAAUGGGCAUCAGGCCAAGCUGCCUGGUUGCUGUUCAGCUCAAGAGUUCCCUGCUGAAAGGAAUCACAGAGAAGCUUUGCUCAUUCCACUUUUAUGCCUCACUCUCCCUCUGAAAGUUCUCUGCAAAACAAUUGCCAGAGCUCAGAAAUCCCCAAAACUUUAGCCAGUUAGGGCAUGCCCAUUUUCUCCUUCUCUCUCACUCUCUGCAAGAGAUUGAAUUAUUGACCCAAAUCCUUCACCCCUCACUGUACUAUUGGCCUUUGUUUUAUAACUUUGCAGUUACUCUUGCUAGACGUGGAAUGUACUUCCCUAUCCUUUGACCUUGUUUAUACUCAGCGUGUGACUUGAUUACACCAAUGGUGUGUUAGUGGACACGACGUAAGCAAAGUCUUGAAAUGUGCUUACUCAAUGGGGAUUGACUUUCUGCACUUUUCCCAUUAUCAUGAGAAAAAUUUUUUUCCUAGGACUUUACUGCCCCUUCAGCCUGGGCUUCAAAAGGUGAACACGUACAGCAGAUGUGAGAGCAACCACCAGCAAGGAACAAAACCUGCACUCAGCAGAACCCAGCCUAGAUCCGCUGACCAGCCAACCAACAUAGAGAUACAUUCAUGAGAAUAAAUAAUUGCUGCAAGUUACAGAGUUCUAUAUAAGUUUUUGGAUGUAGUAUUAUGAUGCUAAUAACUAAUGGAUAUAGAAAUUGGUAAGUAGAAGCAGGCUUCUGCUUAACAAAAGGAUAGCAUAUGCUAGUAGUUUGGGAACACUGUUAUGGGUGGUGAGAGAGCUGUUAGAGGGGGUUGGAAAAUGGCCAUAAAGCUAUUAUAGGGGACAGAAAAUGGUGCCCCAUGUUAUGUAGACAGAAAAAGGUGAUGAGACUGUCAUCUGUGAUAAUUAAGAAGAUAGGAAAUAUACCUAAUAAACUCGUAGACUUGAGCAAAAUAGUUUUCCAGGCAGAAUUUGAGCUCAGAUACAUAUAAGAAAGAGAUGAGCUCAGAAAAGAACUGCCUCAUUUGCAAAAGUAGAAUUUACUGCAAAUAAACGGAGUCUAGAAAUUGUACUGUUGGAAAAUCAAACCACUUCUCAUAGAAUCGAUAGAUGUAGCUUUUAUUAUAUAGCCUCAUAAGAAGACCAAAUUCAGUAAAACACAGCCUCAGAGUAAAGAACAAAUGGUUUUAUUGAUAUUACAUUCCUUUAAGACCUCUGAAGAAAUAAAGUGGCUAGUAGCUUCUAGUAAGUUUCAGGGUAUGAUCCCACAACAAUCUGGGGUAUCUCAAGUACCAUUGAUUAAGUGUAGAAAGCGUGGUGUGUCUUAAAAAGAACUCUGAGCAUGGCUUUUGACACAUGGAGUUGACUAGAACCAAAUAUACAGAACACUCACAGUUUCUGAGAGUUUGGAUUGGCAAAAGCACUGGCAGCCUGUAAUAAAAGACACUUAGACUCUUUGGGAUGUGAAAUAUUUGGGAUGACCUCUAGAGCACCAAUUUUCUAUAAGUAAGAAACAACUCAGAGCUGGCCCAGUGGUGUAGUGGUUAGGUUAGUGCCGUCCACUUCCACGGCCCAGGGUUUACCAGUUUGAAUGCUGGUCAUGGACCUACACAUGACUCAUCAAGCCGUGUUGUGGUGGCAUCCCAAAUAGAAGACCUAGAAGGACUUAUGACUAAGAUAUACAACUCUGUACUGGGGCUUUGGGAAGAAAAAAAAAUAAAAGCGGAAGAUUGGCAACAGAUGUUAGAUCAGGGCCAAACUUCCCCCCUGCCAAUAAGAAACAACUGAAAAAUCUGAGGGCAUACUUUGGAACACCCUCCUUACAAGUGGCAGGGAAAUGAAUUGUGUGCUAUAGAGGAAAAAAAUAUAAGGAUACACUUCUAGGAAUUUAAACUGUGGCCUAAUCCAGAAGCUCUCUCUAUUCCUAAGACCUGGCAACACGGACACAGAUUUCAUAAUUGCAUGAAUCAGGGACUGCCCUGUGCUUCCCAGUCUUCCUUUUAUGAAUGGAAGUGUUUACUGCAGAUCUUGUUGCUUUUCCAGCUUUGUAUGCUGGCUGGGUGGGAUGCAGUGAAGUUGUUUUGUUAAUUCAUAGGUCUUAUAUCAGGAGAAAGUGCAUCCAGAACUGACGUGAAUGCCGAGAUCUUGGUCUUUGAGCCUGAUGCUGUGAUUCCAUGAGACUUCUGCGGCUCUUUGGGGUGGAGCACCUAGGAGCAGCACCCAAGGAGGAAAGAUUCCAUUCCUCCCCACGCCAUCACACCUUACCUGUGGGUAAUUGUAGCGUUCCAGCAGUGUCCCCAUCUGAGCUGAAAUGGCCCAUGUGGUUCCUGCAAUAACCACUACAGAACUGCUCUCUCUCACACAGGUGUAGUUAGGUAUCACAUUGCCUAGUCCAGGCAACCACAUGAGGGAACUCUCCAAAGUCCUUUGCUCACUGUGCAAUGCAUUGUAGAGAUCCCAUCCUAGGGAUACUUUGGGUAAAGAUAGGGGUUCUCUUUAUUGUCUCAGUGGCAAAAUCAAAGGCAAGAACAUACUGGUAGUGUGAUGAAAAAGCCCUGUAUGGAGGGCAUAAAGAUCCUUAGGAAAGGCUCAAACCAUGUGAUUUAGGAUUAUUUCAUAAUUGAAGAGAAAGGACACAAUAUUGAAAGCAAAAGCCCAGUAAACUCAUUCAAUGAGAAGAAAUAGCUGUCUUUACUUAGACAUUAGAAUUUGGACUUAAUCACUUAUUUAACUGGAGGCCUUGAAGACUGUCACUUAAUGCCAAGUUUUCUGAGAGGGGAUGUCCAUAUGAAAAGAACAAAGGGAGUAAGGAAGAUUCAGAUCAUGUUCAGGGUGGACUAAUAGGUUUUCUUAAUGUUGGACUCUAAGUGUAUGACGUUCUAAUUAAUGAUAAUUAAAUACUGCACUUUGGUGAUGCAUUAACAUGAAUUUGGAGGUGGACAUGGGAAGGAGAGUAUUUUUCAAGCUGCUGCAUGUGGAGAGCCAUCAAUUCAGUGCCAAUAACCCAGGUAGACAUAGAAAGUUAGUGAAAUAGGCAGAUCGAGAAAGAGGGCUCAGCAGAAUAAUCGUGCUGCCUAAGUUGGUGCCUCACUCAGAGACACAUAGAUCUGCCAUGUCCAAAAGUGAGGAAACGAAGGGCAGCAUUUCAGAGUCCUCAGGAAAGGAGUCAGGAGAGGCACUGACUUUGGAGGAAGCAUAAAGCGGCACUGACAGAUUAUGACUUUUGCCAAAUCUAAAAGAACUAGGAACAUUUAGGUGUUUAAGAGGCAACACAUUGCAAUCUUUUGGUGUCCAUUUAUGAAUUUCAUACAUGAUAAUUUUAAUACAUUACAUUUUUAUAUAAGAUUAUAAUUAAAACUGUAUCAUCUGCAGUACCUUCUUUUUGUCUGUUUUCUACAAGUUAUAGCCAUUUUCUUAUUUCUCCUUCCAGCAGACUUAAGGGCAAUCUAAUAGUAUCUCCGAAAGAAUCAUGUUGGUUACAGAAAAUUCCCUGCUUUCCUCUUACCUGGUACAGGCAAUUAGAACAGUUGUUCGACAGAAGGGCUUCUUUGGGUUACUUUGAAUUCUCCCAUCUGCACUGGUCUUUAUCACACCAAUAGUUUGCAAUCAGUUGAAGGUUCUUUGUUGUAGAAUACAUGCUAAAUUUUCAUGACUGUGUUCGGUAUGUUUUUAAAAACAAUGUAUUUUUUCUCGUUGACAGCAAGGUGUCUACAUAUGUGCAGUAAAGAAAACAUUUUAUUCCUCAAAUAUUCUAUAUUUUUACUAUAUUUGUUGGUUUGGUCUACUGACAAUUGAGAGAAGUAAGUUGAAAUCUCCUACUGUGAUGAUAGAAUUUCUUUUCUACUUUUCCAUAUUUAUCAAUUUUUACUUUCUGUGUUUUGGGGUUAUAUAUUGUCACACAACAUUAGAAUUGUUAUAUAUUCCUGGCAAAUUUGACCUUUUAUCAUUAUAUAGUGACCCUUUCAACCUCAAUGAAUGCUUUCUGUCAAAGUCUCUUUUGUCUGAUGUUAACAUAACUAAUUUAGCUUUCUGCUGAGUGGGAUUUGCCUAGUAUAUCUCAUUCCAUCACUUUACUUUCAAGUUUUCUGCAUAUUUAUGUUUUACAUGUGUAUCUUGUAAACACUAUGUGCUAUUUUUUCUUUACCCUUAGAAUUUGUUACAGAACAGUCCCCAAGAUUGCUCACAUUCUUUGCCUUAAAAUAGACCUCAAGAAAUUAAAAAACAUAUAUAAAUAUUUAAAUUUGAAAGAAUAUAUAGUCAAAUAUUAAAUAUAUAUAUGUUUGAAUUUUAAAGACUAUAUAUAUUCCAUGAUCAAAAUGGAAUUAAACUAGAAACCACAAAGAUACUGGAAAAUCCCCAAAUAUUUGGAAAAGAAACAACACUCUUCUAAAUAACGCACUGGUCACAGAAGAGAUCACAAGAAAAAUUAGAAAAUAUUUAGAUUUGAAUAAGUGAACAUACAACACACAAAAACGUAUCAGACAAUUCAAAGUGAGUGCAAUUUUCAGCGUUAAGUGCUUAUAUUUAUAAGGAAGAAAGGUUUUUGUAGUGGGCAAAAUAACUGUCCCUAAGGAUGUCUACAGCCUAAUCCCCAAACCUGCAAAUAUGUUACCUUACAUGGCAGAUGGAAUUAACGUUGCUGAUCAGCUGACUUUAUAAUGGGAAAAUUAUAUUGGACUAACCAGGUGAACCCAAUCUAAUGAUACAAGUUCUUAUAAAAAAUGUAGAGAAAAGCAGAAGAAUGGAUUAGAGAGAGACAAAUGGGACAGAAGGUGGAAUAGGAGACGAGUUGGAGAAGGAAGAGAAGGGGGAGGCAAGGGUGAGAUCCAAAGUGUGAGAGGGACUUGAACUUUCAUUAUGGGCAAGAUAGAGAAAAGCCACCAUGGGCCAAGGAAUGCAGUGACCUCUAGAAGCUGGGCAUGGCCCUUAGCUGACAGCAAGCAAGGAAACUGAGACCUCGGUUGAAUAGCUACAUAAAAGUGAAUUCCAACAUGAAUCCAAAUGAGCAAGGAAAUGGAUCAUUUCCUAGGCCAUCAGAAAGGAGCACAGUCCUGCUGAGAUGCUGAUGUUAAUCCAGUGAUACCUGAGUUGGAACUUUCAUCUACAGAACUAUAAGAUAAUAUAUUUGUGCUGUUUUAGCUGCUAAAUUUGUGGUAAUUUGUCAGGCAGUAAUAGAAAUCUAACACAGUGUCUGAUCAAUUAUUUAUGUUUCUACCCUCAAAAACUAGAAAAGAAAGAGCAGUUUCAACCUAAAGCAAGAAACAAGAAGAAAGUAAAUAAGAAAAAGCAGAAAUUGAUUAAGUAGAAAACAGAAAAACAGUAGGAAAAAAGAAAAGAAAGGAAGUGGUUUUGUGCAAAAGUUAAUAAAUUCUCAAACUUUUAUUUAGCCUGAUUGAGAAAAUAAAUUAAACCAAAAUUUCCAAUAACAAGAAUGAAAGAGGGAACAUCACUAAAGAUCCUACAGUCAUUAAAAUGAUGAUAAGAGAAUAUUAUGGAUACUUUUUGGCAAUGUAUUGAUAGCAUAGAUAGAAUAGACAAAUUCCUUGAAGUUCCAGUCUACCAAAUUCACUCAAGAAGAAAUUAGCAACGUGAGUAGCCCUAUAUCUAUUAAGGAAUUUGAAUUCAUAGUUAAAAACAUUCCUACAAAUCAAGACCCAGGUUCAGAUGGUUUUCUUGGUGAAUUAGACUAAACAUUUAUGGAAUAAAUAUUGUUAAUUUUCUCACACUUUUCUAGAAAAUCAAGAACAGCUUCCCAACUCCUUUUGUGAGGCCAUCAUGUCUAAUCCUAAAAUCAAGAAAGGCAUACAAGAAAAGAAAACCACAGACUAAGGUUCUUCCUGAACAUGGAUGCACAAAGCAUUGACAAAAUAUGAGCAAACUGCAUCCAGCAAGGUUGAUUCAAUAUUAGAAAAUUAGUCAGUGUAAUUCAUAUGAUAAAAUAAAGGAGAAAAAUCAUAAAUUAUUUCAACUGUUGUAGAAAAAUGAAGUGCCUAAUUGGAAGCAAAUUAGAUUUCUAAGAAUAUGUACCUACCAGUUCAGUAACAUUCCUUGAUAAGGAAAAUCCUAAAUCAUCUGAGAUUAGACAUAACUUGGCUAACAUAGUAUUAGGUAAGACAGUACAGCGAGUGGUGGAUACUGCAUGUGCUGCCCAGGUCCCCCUUCAGUGAAGGAUUUGUUGUCCCAGCUGCUAGGGGUGCUGUCAGUCCCUUUAGGGAUUGCUCAGCUGCAGAAAGCCUCCUUAUCCAAGGUUUCGCCCCUUCCUGGGGUGACCCCCAUCCAAUGAGAGAUUGAAGUAAGACUACAAAGGCCUGACCAUAUUGGGCAAACUCGGAACAACUCUUAAGGGCCAUUCUAGCUCCAGAACCCCCUGUGGUGUUGGUCCAAAUUGUCCUUAGUCCUGCAUCACAGCUCAACCUAUUCCUCUGUGCACUCUUGCUUUUUCUUCAAUCCUUCCAUAUGCGCUGAUCGCAAGGGUACUCCUUAAUAAAUAUCCUGCAUAAUAAACUCUGUCUUUGCAUUUGCUUCCCAUGAAACCCAAUGUGUAAUGGUUGGUAUAGGAGAUGAAGAACAAUGACAACAAAAACAACCAUUAAAAUUGGGUUUUGGCACCUGAUCAUUCUCUCCUCUCUGGUCAGGUGGCAAAGAAGGCCCCACCAUUACUGGUGUAGGAAGCAAAGAUAAUCUCUGGGGAAGAUGAAGAUCCAAUUAUUAAUUGGAUGAGUUAUGAUGAUGAAUUGUGGAUGAUGAAAUAAUGAAACGUGAUGUAUUUGCUUGUGUGAUAUACUAGGCAUUUGAGAAAAAUAUGGGAAAUACUAACUAUAGUGGCAAUGGAAUUGAGUGACUAUUGAUAGACUAGAUGGAUAAUAUGGAAAAAGAUAAUGAAAAGGUGAGAGCAAUUAAUUGCCAAUUGUAAGCUAAGUGUCAAAGUCAAAAAGCUUACUAGAUAGCAUGCAAUGAUACUCUAAUUUCCUUCAGUGGAAAGGCAGAGAAAGCAGACAACCAGAAGAUUGCAAGAGCUUAGCCAGGAGCAUGCUUUUGAUAUGCAAACUAAUCAAUUCAGAUUCAUUCUUCUCUUUGGUCCAUAAACACCAGAAGGCAAAAUUCCUCUGCUUUAAUCAUCCCAUGGCCAGGUCCAGAAAGCUAGGGACCAUCCCUAUAGCUGAGAGCGCACUAAAAUUGUUCAAACUAGCCAAUCCUAAAGUGUUUACUCUGAUCUUCCUUUGGAAACUCCAGUAAUGGCUAUGGCCUAAUCUCUCACCUUGGUCUGGACCCUUUUGCCUCCUGACCAUCACUGGUGCUUUUCCAUGUGGCUCUGCAUAGCAUGCUGUCCAACCUCUUUCUACGAACUGUGAGUAUAAUAAACUUUGAUUUCCCAAAGAUCUCCUGUGUCUCCAUCUGUGGCUGCAUCUGACUGACUAUAACAUACAAGAACACAAAAUAAAUAGCACAAUUAGGCUUGGUAAAACAUACGCACCCCAGAGGAUGGUAGAUAAACCCUUCUAAAUUUCAGGGGCCUGCCUGAUUUUCAGUAAAGUUUUUUUGUGUCCACUGAUUAGGAGCAUGUUGGCACAUCACACACAAAAGAAAAGACAAAUUAUUGCAUCUUAUUAAUAAAUAAGAAAGUAUAUGCCAGGUAAGGCUUUUCAGUUUUUAUCAGCAGCAUAUUCCACACCUGAGAUUCUGCUUCAACCCAUAUAUACCAGGUGACACGAAUGCCUGCUAGUUUUGAGGGAGGCCCAGAGUAGGAAGUUGGUCUGUAGCCACCAUGCUGAAUAUCACACCCUUUCCCAGGGUAGCCCAAAGCAAUGACUGAUUGAUGAAGGAAUACAAAGGUCUAGACACUUUGGCCUAACUUGAUAUGACCUGAAGGGUAUUCUGUUAUUAAUUAAUUAAUUGCAGUGACAUUGGAUUAUAACAUUAUAUAGCUUUCGGAUGUACGUUGUAAUGUAUUUCAAAUUCUGUGUCGAUUACAUCAUGUUCACCACUCAAAAACUAAUUACAGUCCAUCCCCUCACAUGUGAGCCUAAUCAACCCUUUUGCCCUCCCACCACCCAUAGUAACCACCAAUCCAUUCUCGGUUGCUAUGUGUUUGAUUGUCGUUGUUUUUAUCUUCUACUUAUGAGUGAGAUCAUAUGGUAUUUGACUUUCUCCCUCUGACUUAUUUCACUCAGCAUAAUACCCUCAUGGUCCAUCCAUGUUGUCAUAAAUCGCCGGAUUUCAUCAUUUAUUAUGCCUGAGUAGUAUUCUAUCGUGUAUAAAUACCACAUCUUCUUUAUCCAUUCGUCCCUUGAUGGGCACAUAGGUUGCUUCCAAGUCUUGGCUAUUGUGUAUAAUGCUGCAGUGAACAUAGAGGUGCAGGUAUCUUUAUGCCUUUGCAUUUUCAAGUUCCUUGGAUAAAUACCCAGCAGUGGAAUAGCUGGGUCAUAUGGUAGAUCUAUUCUUAAUUUUCUGAGGAAACUCCAUACUGCUUUCCAUAGUGGCUGCACCAGUUUGCACUCCCACCAGCAGUGUACAAGAGUUCCCAUCCUUCCACAUCCUCUCCAACAUUUGUUGUUUCUUGUCUUGUUAAUUAUAGCCAUUCUGACCAGAGUGAGGUGAUGCCUCAUUGUAGUUUUGAUUUGCAUUUCCCUGAUAGCUAAUGAUGUUGAGCAUCUUUUCAUGUGCCUGUUGGCAAUCGUAUAUCUUUGGAGAAAUCGCUGUUCAGAUCUUUUGCUCAUUUUUAAAUUGGGUUGUUAGUUUUUUUUGUUGUUGUUGAGCUGUAUGAGUUCUUUGUAUAUUUUGGAUAUAACCCCUUUUCUGAUAUAUGGUUUGCAAAUAUCUUCUCCAAAUUGUUAGGUUGUCUUUUUAUCUUGUUGAUGGUUUCCUUUGCUGUGCGGAAGCUUUUUAGUUUGAUGUAGUCCCAUUUGUUCAUUGUUUCUUUUGUUUCCCUUGCCCAGUCAGACACGGUACCUGAAAAUAUGCGGCUAAGACCAAUGUCAAAGAGCGUACCGCCUAUGUUUCCUUCUAAAAGUUUCAUGGUUCUGGGUCUUACAUCCAAGUCUUUAAUCCAUUUCGAGUUGAUUUUGGUGCAUGGUGUAAGGGAAUGGUCUGCUUUCAUUCUUUUGCAUGUGGCUGUCCAGUUUUCCCAACACCAUUUAUUGAAGAGACUCUCCUUUCUCCAUCGUAUGCUCUUGGCUCCCUUGUCGAAUAUUAGCUGUCCAUAAAUGCAUGGGUUUAUUUCUGGGCUCUCGAUUCUGUUCCAUUGAUCUGUGUGUCUGUUUUUUGCCAGUACCAUGCUGUUUUGGUUACUAUGGCUUUGUAGUGUAUUUUGAAAUCAGGGAAUGUGUUAUCUCCAGCUUUGUUCUUUUUUUCUCAAGAAUCCUUUGGCUAUUCGCGGUCUUUUGUUGUUCCAUAUCAAUUUUAGGAUUCUCUGUUCUAUUUCUGUGAAAAAUGUUGUUGGAACUUUGAUAGAGAUGACAUUGAAUCUGUAGAUUGCUGUAGGAAGUAUGGACAUUUUAACAAUGUCAAUUCUUCCAAUCCAAGAGCACAGAAUAUCUUUCCAUUUCUUUGUGUCUUUAAUUUCUUUUAACAAUGUUUUAUAGUUUUCAGUGUACCGAUCUUUCACCUCGUUGGUUACGUUUAUUCCUAGGUAUUUUCUUCUUUAUGUUGAAAUUGUAAAUGGGAUUGUAUUCUUAAUUUGUCUUUCUGCUACUUCGUUGUUAGGGUAUAGAAAUGCAACUGAUUUUUGCGUGUUGGUUUUGUAUCCUGCAAGUUGACUGUAUUCAUUUACUAUUUCCAGAAGUUUUUUAGUGGAUUCUUUAGAGUUUCCUAUAUAUAAAAAUAUGCUGUCUACAAAUAGUGGCAGUUUUGAUUCUUCUUUUCCAAUUUGAAUCCCUUUUAUUUCUUUUCCUUGCAUGAUUGCUCUGGCUAGGACCUCCAAUACUAUGUUAAAUAAGAGUAGUGAUAGUGGGCAUCCUUGUCUGGUUCAUGUUCUUAGAGGGAUAGCUUUCAGUUUUUCUCCAUUGAGAAUGAUAUUAGCUGUGGGUUUGUCAUAUAUGGCGUUUAUUAUGUUGAGGUAUUUUCUUCCUAUGCCCAUUUAACUUAUUUAGACUUUUUAUCAUAAGAGGAUGUUGGAUCUUGUCAAAUGCUUUCUCAGCAUCUAUUGAGAUGAUAAUUUGAAUUUUAUUCUUCAUUUUGUUAAUGCGGUGUAUCACGUUGAUUGAUUUGAGGAUGUUGAACCAUCCCUGCAAUCCUGGAAUGAAACCAACUUGAUCAUGAUGUAUGAUCUUUUUAAUGUAUUGAUGUAUUUGAUUUGCUAGUAUUUUGUUGAGGAUUUUUGCAUCGAUGUUCAUCAGUGGUAUUGGCCUGUGAUUGUCUCUUUUUGGGUUGUCCUUAUCUGAGUUUGGCAUCAAGAUAAUGUUGGCCUUGGAGAAUGACUUAGGAAGCCUCCCCUUCUCUUCCAUGUUUUGGGAACAGUUUGAGAAGGAUAGGUAUUAAGUCUUCUUUGAACGUCUGGUAGAGUUCACUAGGGAAGCCGUCUGCUCCUCAACUUUUAUUUUUGGGGAGGUUUUUGAUUACUGUUUCGAUCUCCUUACUUGUGAUUGGUCUAUUCAAAUUCUCUACUUCUUCUUGAUUCAGUUUGGGAAGGUUGUAUGAUUCUAGGAAUUUAUCCGUUUCUUCUGGAUUAUCCAAUUUGUUGGUGAAUAGAUUUUCAUAGUAUUCUUUUAUAAUCUUUCGUGUUUCUGAGGUGUCUGUUGUAAUUUCUUCUCUUUCAUUUCUGAUUUUCUUAUUUGAGCCUUCUCUCUUUUUUUCUUGGUGAGUCUACCUAAAGGUUUGCCAAUUUUGUUUAUCUUUUCAAAGAAGCAGCUCUUGGUUUUGUUAAUUUUUUCCAUUAGUUUUAGUCUAUUUUAUUUAUUUCUGCCCUGAUUUUUAUUAUUUCCUUCCUUCUGCUGAUUUGGGCCUUUGUUUAUUUCUCUUUUUCCACUUCCUUUAGGUGUACUGCUGGAUUGUUUAUUUGGAAUUUUUCUUGCUUGUUGAGGUACCGCAAUCCAGGAUUGCUAUGAACUUUCCUCUUAGAACCACUUUUGCUGUAUCUCAUAGAUUUUGGAAUGCCAUAUUUUCAUUUUCAUUUGUCUUCAGGAAUUUUUUUAUUUCUCCUUUUAUUUCUUCAUUGACCCAUUUGUUGUUCAGUAGACAUUCUGUUUCUUGAUCUGUGUCCUGGUUACCUGAUGGGUUUACUUUGUGAAAAUUCAUCAUGCUGUGCUCUUAUGAUUUGUUCACUUCUCCUAAUGAAUGUCAUGCUUAAUAGAAGGUUUUUAAAACGCAUAUUGUUUCUACAAUUAUUAGAAUUGAGCAGCGGGUUCAGAGGAAAUAAUUAAAAAUAUAACAGUUCCUCUGUCUUUGACAAAAUUAAUGGUCAAAUAGAUCACACUUUCUAACCUUGAGAACCUCGUUCAGCAGCUCACCAAGGAAUCAGUAUGAUUUGGGAUCUAAUUGGUGAGGCCACAAAGAAUGUUUCAUUUAAUAUCACAAUGUAGGGAACAAAUUAAAUCAGUGUAAUGUAAUGAUCAGUUUCACAAAGAAAUCUUCAGUCAGGGAGGAAACAAAAGUAGGAAUCAGAAAAUAGUAGCAAAGAAGUGAGGAGAAGUGUGGAGAGAGAGAGGGAGAGGAUAGGUUGGUAAGUGAGGUGAUGGAGCGAGGCUGAAAUUUCCCUACCCUUCACUCACCCUGAAAGAAUGUCAGCAGUCAGCAGCUCCAGCCCCACCUAGGAAAUUGAAUAUAUGUAAAUGAAAUAAAAUGAUAAAAAUGUUUCUGAACCACAUUUUCAAAACUUUUUUUUCUGGAGAGAAAAACAGGAAGCCCAAGAGAGGGUCAAAGAAUGAGAGAGAUUUUAGACAAAUACCUAGAAAAGAAUACAAGGCAGGUGCAGAAGAUAUCUAAAAGAAAAAAGAGUGGCUGGCCCCUUUGGCUGAGUGGUUACGUUCAUGCGCUCUGCUUCGGCGGCCUAGGAUUUCACCAGUUCGAAUCCUGGGUGUGAACAUGGCACUGCUCAUCAGGCCAUGCUGAGGAAGCAUCCUGCAUAGCACAACCAGAGGCACUCACAAUUGAAUAUACAGCUAUGUAGUGGGGGGCUUUGGGGAGAAGAAGAAGAAGAAGGAAAAAAAGAUUGGAAAGAGAUGUUAGCUCAGCUGCCAAUCUUUAAAAAAAAAAAAAGAAGGGGGUCAAACUUCCUACGUAAAAGGACCUCAUCUGCAUCAUCCCUCCCCAGAUGCAAUGCUUCCUGCGAAAUUUGUGACUUUAACUCAUAUGGCAACUGAUACAGGUGUUAAUGUGAAGAGGUCGUGUCAUUCUGAAAUGUAUUCCCAUCUUUCUCAUGGGGAAAACAAAAUGUUGCACCAUCAUAUUAACAGUCCAUCAGACACAGGACUGGUGCAAUUUGAUUAAAUAUAGGAAAAAAAAUGAAAGCUUGUCUUUAUUAUCCUGAAACGACUAGUAAAACAGAAUGCAAUGGAGAGAAAAGACCUCAUAGGCUAUUCAUUCCCUUCUCCUUUCCUGGCAUGUAGACAUAGGAAGCUUGGGCCAUUCCUAGUAAAAUACAGAGAAAGUCUAGGUAUUUCACAAAUCAAAAUGAUAUUUACAUAAAAUUCUGUUUCUGCAGGUAGGACACAAAAAUUUUAUUUAUUUAUUUAUUUUGGUCAUAAUACCUUAUAACAUAGCGAGAUUUCAGUUGUAUAUUAUUGUUUGUCACACACCAUAUAAGUAUGUACCUUUACCCCUUGUGCCCACCCUCCACCCCCUUCUCCCAGUAACCACUAAUUUAUUCUCUUUGUCCAUAAGUUUGUUUAUAUUCCACAUUGAGUGAAAUCAUAUGGUGUUUGUCUUUCUCUGUCUGGCUUAUUUUGUUUAACAUGAUGCCCUCAAGGUUCAACCAUGUGGUUGUGAAUGGGACGAUUUCAUCUUUUUUAUGGCUGAGUAGCAUUCCGUUGCAUAUAUAUACCACAUCUUCUUUAUCCAAUCAUCUGUUGAUGGGCACUUGGAUUGCUUCUAUCCCUUGGCUAUUGUGAAUAAUGCUGCAAUGAACAUAGGGGUGCACAAGUCUCUAUGAAUUGUUGAUUUCAAGUUAUUUUGGUAAGUACCCAGUAGUGAGAUAGCUGGGCCAUGUGGUAUUUCUGUUUUUACUUUUUUGGGAAAUCUCCACACGGUUUUCCACAGUGGCUGCACUAGUUUGCAUUCCCACCAGCAGUGGAUGACGGUUUUCUUUUCUCCACAAGCUCUCCAACAUUUGUUGUUUUUCGUCUUGGUGGUUAUAGCCAUUCUAACGUGUGUAAGAUGGUACUUAAGUGUAGUUUUGAUUUGCAUUUCCUGAUGAUUAGUGAUGUUGAGCAUUUUUUCAUGUGCCCAUUGGCCAUCUGUAUAUCUUCUUUGGAAAAAUGUCUGUUCAUAUCUUCUGGCCACUUUUUAAUUGAGUUGUUUGUUUUUUUGUAGUUCAUUUGUGUGAGCUCUUUAUAUAUUAUGGAGAUUAACCCCUUAUCAGACAUAAGAUUUGCAAAUAUUUUCUCCCACUUGGUGGGUUGUUUUUUCAUUUUGAUCUUGGUUUCCUUUGCAUACCAGAAGCACCUUAGUCUGAUGAAGUCCCACUUGUUCAUUUUUUCUUGUGUUUCCCUUGUCUGAGUAGACAUGGUAUUUGAAAAGAUCCUUUUAAGUCUAAUGUCAAAAAGUAUACUGCCUAUAUUCUCUCCCAGAGGUUUUAUGGUUUCAGGUCUUACCUUCACGUCUUUGGUCCAUUUUGAGUCUAUUUUUGUGCAUGGGGAAAGAUAAUGGUCUACAUUCAUUCUUUUGCAUGUGGCUGUCCAGUUUUCUCAGCAGCACUUAUUGAAGAGACUUUCCUUUCUCAGGUGUAUGUUCUUGGCUCCUUUGUUGAAGAUUAGCUGUCCAUAGAUGUGUGGUUUUAUUUCUGGGCUUUAAAUUCUGUUCCAUGGAUCUAUGUGUCUAUUCUUGUACCAGUAUCAUGCAGUUUUUAUACUACUCUUUGUAAUGUAUUUUGAAGUCAGGAAUUGCCAUGCCAACAGCUUUGUUCUUCUUUUUCAGUAUCGCUUUGGCUAUUCGGGGUCUUUUCUUGCCCAUGUGAAUUUUAAGAUUCUUUGUUCUAUUUCUGUGAAGAAUGUCAUUGGGAUUCUGAUUGGGAUUGCAUUGAAUAUGUAGAUUGCUUUAUGUAGUAUGGACAAUUUAACUAUGUUUAUUCUUCCAAUCCAUGUGCAUGGAAUAUCUUUCUAUUUCUUUAUGUCAUUAUCAAUUUCUUUCAGUAAUGUCAUAUAGUUUUUUUGUAUAGGUCUUUCACUUCAUUGCUUAAAUUUAUUCCUUGAUAUUUUAUUCUUAUUGGUGC